rnacentral:lncRNA from 1 species
CUGCGCCACCCCAGCUGCAGGAAGCUGAGGCCACUCCGGUGCUGCAUGCAGAAGAAACUUUGCCUGUUGCCAUGGGAAAUGAUGUAGCGGACUUGGCCUUGCAGGCCCUGCAGAGCUGGCCGCAGCUCCAGGAUGUGCUCGGCCUGGCUUAGGCGUGAGAGGUUCAGGCCCAAGGUCAGGGGCACUUCGGCGUCGAGGGCGGCCAUGCUCACCUGAGGAGAAAGACCAGCCAGAGAUAAAAGAACAACACCCCAAACUGAAGCCAGGCAGAAAUGAAGCCCAGCGAUGGACGACGAGAGGUCAUGCAUCUUGGCAGGAAGUGGAGGAGCUGAACCCACACUUCAGUCUGUUGGGACUCUGGGGCCCAGGAUGAACCUACAUGCAGGAGGGAUCGUGGAUGGAGAGUGAGGAGCCCCGGGCCCUGCCCAGCGCCUGCUGUGUGGAGCCCACCUUGGCACGUGGCCGCAUCCUCACGCAGGGCGUAGCCAGCCGGGCAGGA